GGCAACUUUUGGUCGCCUAAACAACACUGGACGUACUCACACUAUUCACGUGGACUUCAAGCGUCACCGUAAUCCCCAUAGAAAAGCACUGAAUAAUGCUUUCCUAUUGGGAAAUCCUAAUGCGAGUGCGGCCAUUCCUGCGCAUGCGCAUUAGGUCUCCCCCGCCAGUAGACAGAAGCUGAGCCAGAGCCGAGGAACAUCGGUGCUGGACCCAGGUAAGUGGGUUAUUAGGGGGUUAUUAACCCCUUCUGCAACUCAGGAGGGGAUGAG